rnacentral:rRNA from 1 species
UGGCGGACGGGUGAGUAAUGCUUAGGAAUCUGCCUAUUAGUGGGGGACAACAUCUCGAAAGGGAUGCUAAUACCGCAUACGUCCUACGGGAGAAAGCAGGGGACCUUCGGGCCUUGCGCUAAUAGAUGAGCCUAAGUCGGAUUAGCUAGUUGGGUGGGGUAAAGGCCUACCAAGGCGACGAUCUGUAGCGGGUCUGAGAGGAUGAUCCGCCACACUGAGACUGAGACACGGCCCAGACUCCUACGGGAGGCAGCAGUGGGGAAUAUUGGACAAUGGGGGGAACCCUGAUCCGGCCAUGCCGCGUGUGUGAAGAAGGCCUUUUGGUUGUAAAGCACUUUAAGCGAGGAGGAGGCUACCGAGAUUAAUACUCUUGGAUAGUGGACGUUACUCGCAGAAUAAGCACCGGCUAACUCUGUGCCAGCAGCCGCGGUAAUACAGAGGGUGCAAGCGUUAAUCGGAUUUACUGGGCGUAAAGCGCGCGUAGGUGGCCAAUUAAGUCAAAUGUGAAAUCCCCGAGCUUAACUUGGGAAUUGCAUUCGAUACUGGUUGGCUAGAGUAUGGGAGAGGAUGGUAGAAUUCCAGGUGUAGCGGUGAAAUGCGUAGAGAUCUGGAGGAAUACCGAUGGCGAAGGCAGCCAUCUGGCCUAAUACUGACACUGAGGUGCGAAAGCAUGGGGAGCAAACAGGAUUAGAUACCCUGGUAGUCCAUGCCGUAAAUGUUUUUUACUAGCCGUUGGGGCCUUUGAGGCUUUAGUGGCGCAGCUAACGCGAUAAGUAG